rnacentral:rRNA from 1 species
GGUUAAGCGACUAAGCGUACACGGUGGAUGCCCUGGCAGUCAGAGGCGAUGAAGGACGUGCUAAUCUGCGAUAAGCGUCGGUAAGGUGAUAUGAACCGUUAUAACCGGCGAUUUCCGAAUGGGGAAACCCAGUGUGAUUCGUCACACUAUCAUUAACUGAAUCCAUAGGUUAAUGAGGCGAACCGGGGGAACUGAAACAUCUAAGUACCCCGAGGAAAAGAAAUCAACCGAGAUUCCCCCAGUAGCGGCGAGCGAACGGGGAGCAGCCCAGAGCCUGAAUCAGUGUGUGUGUUAGUGGAAGCGUCUGGAAAGGCGCGCGAUACAGGGUGACAGCCCCGUACACAAAAAUGCACAUAUUGUGAGCUCGAUGAGUAGGGCGGGACACGUGGUAUCCUGUCUGAAUAUGGGGGGACCAUCCUCCAAGGCUAAAUACUCCUGACUGACCGAUAGUGAACCAGUACCGUGAGGGAAAGGCGAAAAGAACCCCGGCGAGGGGAGUGAAAAAGAACCUGAAACCGUGUACGUACAAGCAGUGGGAGCACGCUUAGGCGUGUGACUGCGUACCUUUUGUAUAAUGGGUCAGCGACUUAUAUUCUGUAGCAAGGUUAACCGAAUAGGGGAGCCGAAGGGAAACCGAGUCUUAACUGGGCGUUAAGUUGCAGGGUAUAGACCCGAAACCCGGUGAUCUAGCCAUGGGCAGGUUGAAGGUUGGGUAACACUAACUGGAGGACCGAACCGACUAAUGUUGAAAAAUUAGCGGAUGACUUGUGGCUGGGGGUGAAAGGCCAAUCAAACCGGGAGAUAGCUGGUUCUCCCCGAAAGCUAUUUAGGUAGCGCCUCGUGAAUUCAUCUCCGGGGGUAGAGCACUGUUUCGGCAAGGGGGUCAUCCCGACUUACCAACCCGAUGCAAACUGCGAAUACCGGAGAAUGUUAUCACGGGAGACACACGGCGGGUGCUAACGUCCGUCGUGAAGAGGGAAACAACCCAGACCGCCAGCUAAGGUCCCAAAGUCAUGGUUAAGUGGGAAACGAUGUGGGAAGGCCCAGACAGCCAGGAUGUUGGCUUAGAAGCAGCCAUCAUUUAAAGAAAGCGUAAUAGCUCACUGGUCGAGUCGGCCUGCGCGGAAGAUGUAACGGGGCUAAACCAUGCACCGAAGCUGCGGCAGCGACGCUUAUGCGUUGUUGGGUAGGGGAGCGUUCUGUAAGCCUGUGAAGGUGUGCUGUGAGGCAUGCUGGAGGUAUCAGAAGUGCGAAUGCUGACAUAAGUAACGAUAAAGCGGGUGAAAAGCCCGCUCGCCGGAAGACCAAGGGUUCCUGUCCAACGUUAAUCGGGGCAGGGUGAGUCGACCCCUAAGGCGAGGCCGAAAGGCGUAGUCGAUGGGAAACAGGUUAAUAUUCCUGUACUUGGUGUUACUGCGAAGGGGGGACGGAGAAGGCUAUGUUGGCCGGGCGACGGUUGUCCCGGUUUAAGCGUGUAGGCUGGUUUUCCAGGCAAAUCCGGAAAAUCAAGGCUGAGGCGUGAUGACGAGGCACUACGGUGCUGAAGCAACAAAUGCCCUGCUUCCAGGAAAAGCCUCUAAGCAUCAGGUAACAUCAAAUCGUACCCCAAACCGACACAGGUGGUCAGGUAGAGAAUACCAAGGCGCUUGAGAGAACUCGGGUGAAGGAACUAGGCAAAAUGGUGCCGUAACUUCGGGAGAAGGCACGCUGAUAUGUAGGUGAAGCGACUUGCUCGUGGAGCUGAAAUCAGUCGAAGAUACCAGCUGGCUGCAACUGUUUAUUAAAAACACAGCACUGUGCAAACACGAAAGUGGACGUAUACGGUGUGACGCCUGCCCGGUGCCGGAAGGUUAAUUGAUGGGGUCAGCGCAAGCGAAGCUCUUGAUCGAAGCCCCGGUAAACGGCGGCCGUAACUAUAACGGUCCUAAGGUAGCGAAAUUCCUUGUCGGGUAAGUUCCGACCUGCACGAAUGGCGUAAUGAUGGCCAGGCUGUCUCCACCCGAGACUCAGUGAAAUUGAACUCGCUGUGAAGAUGCAGUGUACCCGCGGCAAGACGGAAAGACCCCGUGAACCUUUACUAUAGCUUGACACUGAACAUUGAGCCUUGAUGUGUAGGAUAGGUGGGAGGCUUUGAAGUGUGGACGCCAGUCUGCAUGGAGCCGACCUUGAAAUACCACCCUUUAAUGUUUGAUGUUCUAACGUUGACCCGUAAUCCGGGUUGCGGACAGUGUCUGGUGGGUAGUUUGACUGGGGCGGUCUCCUCCUAAAGAGUAACGGAGGAGCACGAAGGUUGGCUAAUCCUGGUCGGACAUCAGGAGGUUAGUGCAAUGGCAUAAGCCAGCUUGACUGCGAGCGUGACGGCGCGAGCAGGUGCGAAAGCAGGUCAUAGUGAUCCGGUGGUUCUGAAUGGAAGGGCCAUCGCUCAACGGAUAAAAGGUACUCCGGGGAUAACAGGCUGAUACCGCCCAAGAGUUCAUAUCGACGGCGGUGUUUGGCACCUCGAUGUCGGCUCAUCACAUCCUGGGGCUGAAGUAGGUCCCAAGGGUAUGGCUGUUCGCCAUUUAAAGUGGUACGCGAGCUGGGUUUAGAACGUCGUGAGACAGUUCGGUCCCUAUCUGCCGUGGGCGCUGGAGAACUGAGGGGGGCUGCUCCUAGUACGAGAGGACCGGAGUGGACGCAUCACUGGUGUUCGGGUUGUCAUGCCAAUGGCACUGCCCGGUAGCUAAAUGCGGAAGAGAUAAGUGCUGAAAGCAUCUAAGCACGAAACUUGCCCCGAGAUGAGUUCUCCCUGACUCCUUGAGAGUCCUGAAGGAACGUUGAAGACGACGACGUUGAUAGGCCGGGUGUGUAAGCGCAGCGAUGCGUUGAGCUAACCGGUACUAAUGAACCGUGAGGCUUAACCUU